rnacentral:rRNA from 1 species
UUGAUCCUGGCUCAGAAUCAACGCUGGCGGCGCGCCUAACACAUGCAAGUCGAACGAGAAAGCGGGGGCAACCUCGUGAGUAAAGUGGCGUACGGGUGAUUAACACGUGGAUCAUCUACCCUCUUGUGGGGGAUAACCCUGGGAAACCGUGGCUAAUACCGCAUAAGCUCGAGAGAGGAAAGCAGCAAUGCGCAGGAGGUGGAGUCCGCGGCCGAUUAUUGCUAGUUGGUAGGGUAAAAGCCUACCAAGUCUGCGAUCGGUAGCCGGCCUGAGAGGGCACACGGCCACACUGGCACUGAUACACGGGCCAGACUCCUACGGGAGGCAGCAGUGGGGAAUCUUGCACAAUUGGGGCAACCCUGAUGCAGCGACGCCGCGUGAGCGAUGAAGCCCUUCGGGUUGUAAAGCUCUUUCGGCAGGGAAGAUUAUGACGGUACCUGCAGAAGCAGUUGCGGCUAACUACGUGCCAGCAGCCGCGGUAAUU